rnacentral:lncRNA from 1 species
UCAAUGCAUUAAAAAAAAAAAUUAGAGUGUUUUGUUUAACUUGGGGUAUUUUUUUUUUGGCAGGGGAGGGCUACGGAUCACAUCUUCUGCAAUAUUUCCAAGUCAUCUUUUCAAAAGCACAUAACUGAAAACAGGAGAUGCAUGGUGUGCCUGAAUAAAGUAAGCAUUUCAAGUUAUUGGUUUAGCUUUGCUGAGAUGUAGCACUAGGUCUCUAAGGAAGUGGAUAGAUUAAGAUCACAUUUCAUUGUGAAAAUUUAGAACUUUAAAAUGUUUGCUGUCAUCUAGUUCUAGGUUAUCUCUGGAUAAUUAAUUUCACGGUAUUUCUGUC